GACGAACGCUGGCGGCGUGCCUAACACAUGCAAGUGGAGCGACGAACCGGACUUCGGUCCGGGGCCAAGCCGCGAACGGGUGAGUAACACGUGGGUAACCUGCCCUGAUGAUCGGGACAACCCGAGGAAACUCGGGCUAAUACCGAAUGUGCCCUCCGGUCUCAAGACCGCUGGGGAAAGGAAGCUUCGGCCUCCGCAUCGGGAUGGGCCCGCGGCCCAUUAGCUUGUUGGUGAGGUAAAGGCUCACCAAGGCCACGAUGGGUAGCUGGUCUGAGAGGACGAUCAGCCACACUGGGACUGAGACACGGCCCAGACUCCUACGGGAGGCAGCAGUGGGGAAUCUUGCGCAAUGCGCGAAAGCGUGACGCAGCAACGCCGCGUGGGGGAAGACGGCCUUCGGGUUGUAAACCCCUUUCAGUUGGGACGAAGCUUCGCCGGUGAAUAGCCGGCUGGAGUGACGGUACCUUCAGAAGAAGCCCCGGCUAACUACGUGCCAGCCGCCGCAG
rnacentral:rRNA from 1 species